rnacentral:tRNA from 1 species
GUCCAGGGUAGCCUAGUGGACAUGGCAUCUGCCCGGUAAGCGGAACACUGUGGGUUCGAUUCCAUCCCUGGACA